AAAACAUCGGCCGGUAAGUCUUUCAUGACCCCCACAUUCACGUGUCCAGAGCCCACCCCCCAAUCCAAGUGAACCCGGGCAACCGGUAAACGGAACACUGCACCUCCCGCCACCCUCACUGCCACAGUAUCUCCAGUGUGUUGGUGUUCGGACACAAGGUUCUUUUGGAGCAAGGUCAUAGUGGCUCCGGUGUCUCUCAGUCCAGUUACCGCUUUGCCAUUUAGUUU